rnacentral:rRNA from 1 species
AGAGUUUGAUCAUGGCUCAGGAUGAACGCUAGCUACAGGCUUAACACAUGCAAGUCGAGGGGAAACGACAUCGAAAGCUUGCUUUUGAUGGGCGUCGACCGGCGCACGGGUGAGUAACGCGUAUCCAACCUGCCCACCACUUGGGGAUAACCUUGCGAAAGUAAGACUAAUACCCAAUGACGUCUCUAGAAGACAUCUGAAAGAGAUUAAAGAUUUAAUCGGUGAUGGAUGGGGAUGCGUCUGAUUAGCUUGUUGGCGGGUAACGGCCCACCAAGGCUACGAUCGAGUAGGGGUUCUGAGAGGAACGGUCCCCCACAUUGGAACUGAGACACGGUCCAAACUCCUACGGAGGCA